rnacentral:rRNA from 1 species
AGUGAACGCUGGCGGUAGGCCUAACACAUGCAAGUCGAACGGCAGCACAGUAAGAGCUUGCUCUUACGGGUGGCGAGUGGCGGACGGGUGAGGAAUACAUCGGAAUCUACUUUUUCGUGGGGGAUAACGUAGGGAAACUUACGCUAAUACCGCAUACGACCUACGGGUGAAAGCAGGGGAUCCUCGGACCUUGCGCGAUUGAAUGAGCCGAUGUCGGAUUAGCUAGUUGGCGGGGUAAAGGCCCACCAAGGCGACGAUCCGUAGCUGGUCUGAGAGGAUGAUCAGCCACACUGGAACUGAGACACGGUCCAGACUCCUACGGGAGGCAGCAGUGGGGAAUAUUGGACAAUGGGCGCAAGCCUGAUCCAGCCAUACCGCGUGGGUGAAGAAGGCCUUCGGGUUGUAAAGCCCUUUUGUUGGGAAAGAAAAGCAGCAGGUUAAUACCCCGCUGUUCUGACGGUACCCAAAGAAUAAGCAUCGGCUAACUUCGUG